CCCUUAGAUGUUCUGGGCUGCACGCGCGCUACACUGACACUAUCAACGAGUGCUCCUGGUUUGAAAGGAUCGGGUAAUCUUUUGAAAUGGUGUCGUGAUGGGGAUAGAUCAUUGCAAUUAUUGAUCUUGAACGAGGAAUUCCUAGUAAAUGUGAGUCAUCAGCUCACGUUGAUUACGUCCCUGCCCUUUGUACACACCGCCCGUCGCUCCUACCGAUUGAGUGAACCGAUGAGUAGUCCGGAUUGCGAUCGACCUCGGUUAAUCGCGAGAAGUUCCGCAAAUCACUUCACUUAGAGGAAGGAGAAGUCGUAACA
rnacentral:rRNA from 1 species